AGUUAAGUUAGAAAGGGCGCACGGUGGAUGCCUUGGCACUAGGAGCCGAUGAAGGACGGGACAAACACCGAUAUGCUUCGGGGAGCUGUAAGUAAGCGUUGAUCCGGAGAUUUCCGAAUGGGGAAACCCACUGUCCGUAAUGGGGCAGUAUCUAUACGUGAAUACAUAGCGUAUGGAGGGCAUACCCGGGGAACUGAAACAUCUAAGUACCCGGAGGAGAAGAAAGCAAAAGCGAUUCCCUGAGUAGCGGCGAGCGAAACGGGAACAGCCCAAACCAAGAGGCUUGCCUCUUGGGGUUGUAGGACACUCAAUACGGAGUGACAAAGGAACGGAGUAGAUGAAGCGGUCUGGAAAGGCCCGCCAGAGGAGGUAAGAGCCCUGUAGUCGAAACUUCGUUCCCUCCUGAGUGGAUCCUGAGUACGGCGGGACACGAGGAAUCCCGUCGGAAGCAGGGAGGACCAUCUCCCAAGGCUAAAUACUCCCUAGUGACCGAUAGUGAACCAGUACCGUGAGGGAAAGGUGAAAAGCACCCCGGGAGGGGAGUGAAAGAGAACCUGAAACCGUGUGCCUACAAGUAGUCAGAGCCCGUUUAUGGGUGAUGGCGUGCCUUUUGUAGAAUGAACCGGCGAGUUACGAUCUCGUGCGAGGUUAAGUCGAAAAGACGGAGCCGUAGCGAAAGCGAGUCUGAAUAGGGCGUAUAGUACGAGGUCGUAGACCCGAAACCAGGUGAUCUACCCAUGUCCAGGGUGAAGGUAGGGUAAUACCUACUGGAGGCCCGAACCCACGCACGUUGAAAAGUGCGGGGAUGAGGUGUGGGUAGGGGUGAAAUGCCAAUCGAACUUGGAGAUAGCUGGUUCUCCCCGAAAUAGCUUUAGGGCUAGCCUCGAGUGAAGAGUCUUGGAGGUAGAGCACUGAUUGGGCUAGGGGCCCUCAUCGGGUUACCGAACUCAGUCAAACUCCGAAUGCCAAUGACUUAUACUCGGGAGUCAGACUACGAGUGAUAAGAUCCGUGGUCAAGAGGGAAACAGCCCAGAUCACCAGCUAAGGUCCCAAAGUAUACGUUAAGUGGAAAAGGAUGUGGAGUUGCUUAGACAACCAGGAUGUUGGCUUAGAAGCAGCCACCAUUUAAAGAGUGCGUAAUAGCUCACUGGUCGAGUGACUCUGCGCCGAAAAUGUACCGGGGCUAAACGUAUCACCGAAGCUGUGGGACGACUUGCGUCGUCGGUAGGGGAGCGUUCUAAGGGCGUCGAAGCUAGACCGGAAGGACUAGUGGAGCGCUUAGAAGUGAGAAUGCCGGUGUGAGUAGCGAAAACAGAGGUGAGAAUCCUCUGCACCGAAAGCCUAAGGUUUCCUGAGGAAGGCUCGUCCGCUCAGGGUUAGUCGGGACCUAAGCCGAGGCCGAAAGGCGUAGGCGAUGGACAACAGGUUGAUAUUCCUGUACCACCUCCUCACCGUUUGAGCAAUGGGGGGACGCAGGAGGAUAGGGUCAGCGCGCGACUGGUUGUGCG
rnacentral:ncRNA from 1 species